UAGGGGUUAGUCUAACCAAGACAAUUAAUUUCGACUUAAUAGAUUCUAACACUAUUAGAACCCCUAA